rnacentral:rRNA from 1 species
CGGCCAACUACGUGCCAGCAGCCGCGGUAAUACGUAGGGUGCGAGCGUUGUCCCGGAAUUACUGGGCGUAAAGAGCUCGUAGGUGGUUUGUCGCGUUGUUCGUGAAAUUCCCUGGCUUAACUGGGGGCGUGCGGGCGAUACGGGCAGACUGGAGUACUGCAGGGGAGACUGGAAUUCCUGGUGUAGCGGUGGAAUGCGCAGAUAUCAGGAGGAACACCGGUGGCGAAGGCGGGUCUCUGGGCAGUAACUGACGCUGAGGAGCGAAAGCGUGGGGAGCGAACAGGAUUAGAUACCCUGGUAGUCCACGCCGUAAACGGUGGGUACUAGGUGUGGGUUUCCUUCCUUGGGAUCCGUGCCGUAGCUAACGCAUUAAGUACCCCGCCUGGGGAGUACGGCCGCAAGGCUAUAACUCAAAGGAAUUGACGGGGGCCCGCACAAGCGGCGGAGCAUGUGGAUUAAUUCGAUGCAACGCGAAGAACCUUACCUGGGUUUGACAUGCACAGGACGCCGGUAGAGAUAUCGGUUCCCUUGUGGUCUGUGUGCAGGUGGUGCAUGGCUGUCGUCAGCUCGUGUCGUGAGAUGUUGGGUUAAGUCCCGCAACGAGCGCAACCCUUGUCUCAUGUUGCCAGCGCGUUAUGGCGGGGACUCGUGAGAGACUGCCGGGGUCAACUCGGAGGAAGGUGGGGAUGACGUCAAGUCAUCAUGCCCCUUAUGUCCAGGGCUUCACACAUGCUACAAUGGCCGGUACAAAGGGCUGCGAUGCCGUGAGGUGAAGCGAAUCCUUUAAAGCCGGUCUCAGUUCGGAUCGGGGUCUGCAACUCGACCCCGUGAAGUCGGAGUCGCUAGUAAUCGCAGAUCAGCAACGCUGCGGUGAAUACGUUCCCGGGCCUUGUGCACACCGCCCGUCACGUCAUGAAAGUCGGUAACACCCGAAGCCAGUGGCCUAACCCUUGUGGGGGGAGCUGUCGAAGGUGGGAUCGGCGAUUGGGACGAAGUCGUAACAAGGUAGCCGUA